rnacentral:tRNA from 1 species
GUAAACAUAGUUUACAAAAAACAUUAGACUGUGAAUCUAACAACAGGAGCUAAUACUCCUUGUUUACC